rnacentral:rRNA from 1 species
UGAACCUGCGGAAGGAUCAUUACAGUAUUCUUUUUGCCAGCGCUUAAUUGCGCGGCGAAAAAACCUUACACACAGUGUUUUUUGUUAUUACAAGAACUUUUGCUUUGGUCUGGACUAGAAAUAGUUUGGGCCAGAGGUUUACUGAACUAAACUUCAAUAUUUAUAUUGAAUUGUUAUUUAUUUAAUUGUCAAUUUGUUGAUUAAAUUCAAAAAAUCUUCAAAACUUUCAACAACGGAUCUCUUGGUUCUCGCAUCGAUGAAGAACGCAGCGAAAUGCGAUAAGUAAUAUGAAUUGCAGAUUUUCGUGAAUCAUCGAAUCUUUGAACGCACAUUGCGCCCUCUGGUAUUCCAGAGGGCAUGCCUGUUUGAGCGUCAUUUCUCUCUCAAACCUUCGGGUUUGGUAUUGAGUGAUACUCUUAGUCGAACUAGGCGUUUGCUUGAAAUGUAUUGGCAUGAGUGGUACUGGAUAGUGCUAUAUGACUUUCAAUGUAUUAGGUUUAUCCAACUCGUUGAAUAGUUUAAUGGUAUAUUUCUCGGUAUUCUAGGCUCGGCCUUACAAUAUAACAAACAAGUUGACCUCAAAUCAGUAGGAUUCCCUCUUCCCCC